UGAGGAAUUUUGCGCAAUGGGCGAAAGCCUGACGCAGCGACGCCGCGUGGAGGAAGACGGCCUUCGGGUUGUAAACUCCUGUCAGGGGGGAAGAAACUUCGCAAGAAGCUGACGGUAACCCCAGAGGAAGCCCCGGCUAACUACGUGCCAGCAGCCGCGGUAAUACGUAGGGGGCAAGCGUUGCUCGGAAUUACUGGGCGUAAAGGGUGUGUAGGUGGCUGAUUAAGUUAAGGAUGAAAUCCCGAGGCUCAACUUCGGAACUGUCCUUGAUACUGGUCAGCUUGAGGCUAGUAAAGGAGAGCGGAAUUCCUGGUGUAGAGGUGAAAUUCGUAGAUAUCAGGAGGAACACCGGUGGCGAAGGCGGCUUUCUGGCCCUAUACUGACGCUGAGACGCGAGAGCGUGGGUAGCAAACA
rnacentral:rRNA from 1 species